rnacentral:rRNA from 1 species
AGCGAACGCUGGCGGCAGGCUUAACACAUGCAAGUCGAACGCAUCCUUCGGGGUGAGUGGCGGACGGGUGAGUAACACGUGGGAACGUACCCUUUGGUUCGGGACAACUCUGGGAAACUGGAGCUAAUACCGGAUACGCCCUUUCGGGGAAAGGUUUACUGCCGAAGGAUCGGCCCGCGUCUGAUUAGCUAGUUGGUGGGGUAACGGCCUACCAAGGCGACGAUCAGUAGCUGGUCUGAGAGGAUGAUCAGCCACACUGGGACUGAGACACGGCCCAGACUCCUACGGGAGGCAGGAGUGGGGAAUAUUGGACAAUGGGCGCAAGCCUGAUCCAGCCAUGCCGCGUGAGUGAUGAAGGCCUUAGGGUUGUAAAGCUCUUUUAUCCGGGACGAUAAUGACGGUACCGGAGGAAUAAGCCCCGGCUAACUUCGUGCCAGCCGCCGCUGUAAAAC